rnacentral:rRNA from 1 species
GACGAACGCUGGCGGCGUGCUUAACACAUGCAAGUCGAACGGAAAGGCCUCUUUCGGGGGUUGCUCGAGUGGCGAACGGGUGAGUAACACGUGAGUAACCUGCCCUUGGCUUUGGGUUACCUUCGGGAAACUGGGCCUAAUACCGGAUAGUCGCUCCUGCUGCAGGGUGGGGGUUGGAAAGUUUCGGCGGUUGGGUGUGGGCUCGCGGCUUAUCAGCUUGUUGGGGGGGUAGUCGCUUACCAAGGCCUUGACGGGUAGCCGGACUGAGAGGGUGAGAUGCGACACUGGGACUGAGAGAAGGCCCAGAUGCCGACGGGAGGCAGCAGGGGGGAAGAUUGCACAAGGGGUGGCAGCCGGAUGCAGAAACGCCGCGGGCGGGAUGACGGCUUUCGUGUUGAAAAACGCCUUCGCGCAAGUAGCAGCUUUGUGUGACGGUAGUGGGUAAAGAAGCACCGGCUAACUACGUG